GAGAGCGAAGCACGGUUUUGUAGCAGAGAGUGAAAUUUCCGCUCUUCAUCACCAGAGCGAGCUUGUUGUUGAUGCUCUAAUGGGUCUUUUUAGCUUUCUUGCCAACAGCUAGCCAUUUUCGCAGUGGAUUAAAGCUGAUAUCUUUGAGUUGAUUAGGGAUUUGCUUCAGUGGGAGUCCCGCCGCCGAAACCCCACGAUUCUAGGCCGCUGUACAACUACUCGCGGUUGAGACACAGAUGGUAGUUGUCACGUGCCAUGGACGUGCGUGCGUGUUAUUUUAUGGACAAUCUUGUCCCUAUAAGAGUUUGAUGGUGGCUUGAGGUCGGAGGGGUAAAUAGGUCAGAAAGUAGAUAUUUUAUUAUAGAUUGAAAGGGUAAAAAAGACAAAAUAUUGCUUCGACCUAGAAGGGAGGAUGAUAGGGUACACCGACGGAACAUGGCUUAUAAUGUUCCCCUUUAGUGGAUGAAAAUUAAAAUUUUUUAAUAUAUAUUUUAUUUAAUUUGUUGUGUGGUUAGUUGGCCAUGGCAUUGAAUGCUGAUCACAAGGAU
rnacentral:misc_RNA from 1 species